UACGUAGGGGGCAAGCGUUGUCCGGAUUUAUUGGGCGUAAAGAGCGUGUAGGCGGCUCGGUAAGUCCGCUGUGAAAGUCCAGGGCUCAACCCUGGAAUGCCGGUGGAAACUGUCGAGCUAGAGUCCGGAAGAGGCGAGUGGAAUGCCUGGUGUAGUGGUGAAAUGCGUAGAGAUCAGGCGGAACACCCGUGGCGAAGGCGGCCAGCUGGGCCGACCCUGACGCUGAGGCGCGAAGGCGUGGGGAGCAAACAGG
rnacentral:rRNA from 1 species